UCCGAGUUGACCCCGGCAGUCUCCUAUGAGUCCCCGCCAUAACGCGCUGGCAACAUAGAACGAGGGUUGCGCUCGUUGCGGGACUUAACCCAACAUCUCACGACACGAGCUGACGACAACCAUGCACCACCUGUACAGGACCCUUGCGGACCUGACAUCUCUGCCAGAUUUCCCUGUAUGUCAAGCCUUGGUAAGGUUCUUCGCGUUGCGUCGAAUUAAGCCGCAUGCUCCGCCGCUUGUGCGGGCCCCCGUCAAUUCCUUUGAGUUUUAGCCUUGCGGCCGUACUCCCCAGGCGGGGCGCUUAAUGCGUUAGCUACGGCACGGAUCCCGUGGAAGGAAACCCACACCUAGCGCCCACCGUUUACGGCGUGGACUAC
rnacentral:misc_RNA from 1 species